rnacentral:snoRNA from 1 species
AGGUCCAUUCUAAUUCCCUGCAGGUCAGUGCCAGUACCUGCUGGGUUUCGCUUGUGGACCACAUUAAACUGGAGAACUUUAAGCAUGCAUGAGCUGACUUGGUAGCCUGCUCAUGAUGUAGUUUUCUGGACAUGU